rnacentral:rRNA from 1 species
UACGAAGGGGGCUAGCGUUGCUCGGAAUCACUGGGCGUAAAGCGCACGUAGGCGGACUCUUAAGUCGGUGGUGAAAUCCUGGAGCUCAACUCCAGAACUGCCUUCGAUACUGGGAGUCUCGAGUCCGGGAGAGGUGAGUGGAACUGCGAGUGUAGAGGUGAAAUUCGUAGAUAUUCGCAAGAACACCCGUGGCGAAAGCGGCUUACUGGGUCUUUUCUGACGCUGAUGCACGAAAGCUAGGGGAGCAAACGGG